rnacentral:rRNA from 1 species
CCUACGGGAGGCAGCAGUGGGGAAUAUUGGACAAUGGGCGAAAGCCUGAUCCAGCAAUGCCGCGUGAGUGAUGAAGGCCUUAGGGUUGUAAAGCUCUUUUACCAGGGAUGAUAAUGACAGUACCUGGAGAAUAAGCUCCGGCUAACUCCGUGCCAGCAGCCGCGGUAAUACGGAGGGAGCUAGCGUUGUUCGGAAUUACUGGGCGUAAAGCGUACGUAGGCGGUUAUUCAAGUCAGAGGUGAAAGCCCGGGGCUCAACCCCGGAACUGCCUUUGAAACUAGAUAGCUAGAAUCUUGGAGAGGUUAGUGGAAUUCCGAGUGUAGAGGUGAAAUUCGUAGAUAUUCGGAAGAACACCAGUGGCGAAGGCGACUAACUGGACAAGUAUUGACGCUGAGGUACGAAAGCGUGGGGAGCAAACAGGAUUAGAUACCCUGGUAGUCCACGCCGUAAACGAUGAUAACUAGUUGUUCGGGCACUUGGUGCCUGAGUGACGCAGCUAACGCAUUAAGUUAUCCGCCUGGGGAGUACGGUCGCAAGNUUAAAACUUAAAGGAAUUGACGG